UAGCUCAGUUGGUAGAGUGCUUGCCUCGAAUGCACAAGGCCCUGGGUUCAAUCCCCAG
rfam:Ictidomys tridecemlineatus contig099196, whole genome shotgun sequence.